rnacentral:lncRNA from 1 species
AGGAGAGGCGUCGCAGAUGUCUGAGGCUGAGCAGAAGCGGAUGACAGAGAGGGUUGCUUGUUUCCGUUGAUUUGAUCCGCCGUCUUUCGAUGGCAGUUGCACAGAGCCCUGGGUUGUAGAGGACUGGGUGAGCGCAAUGGAGAAGCUAUUCGAGGACUUAUUUAUACCAGAGCAGGAGCAGGUACAUCUGGGAGUGCAUUGUUUGGCUGGUGAUGUGCAUGCUUGGUGGAGGAGGAUGAGAGGUACUCGACGGUUGGUGGCGUUGCAGAUGAAAUGGGAUGAGUUCUGCGGAAUGCUGUACGGGCGUAUUUUUCAAACAGCGUGAAGCAGAAACUCGAAGAGGAUCUGAAGAAGCUACAGCAGGGGGAGCGAUCAGUUGAGGAGUACACUCGUG